GAUGAAGAACGUAGCGAAAUGCGAUAAGUAGUGUGAAUUGCAGAAUUCAGUGAAUCAUCGAAUCUUUGAACGCACAUUGCGCCCCUUGGUAUUCCAUGGGGCAUGCCUGUUCGAGCGUCAUUUGUACCUUCAAGCCUUGCUUGGUGUUGGGUGUUUGUCUCGCCUCUGCGCGCAGACUCGCCUCAAAACAAUUGGCAGCCGGCGUAUUGAUUUCGGAGCGCAGUACAUCUCGCGCUUUGCACUCAGAACGACGACGUCCAAAAGUACAUUUUUACACUCUUGACCUCGGAUCAGGUAGGGAUACCCGCUGAACUUAAGCAUAUCAAUAAGGGAGGA
rnacentral:misc_RNA from 1 species